UACGUAGGGGGCGAGCGUUGUCCGAAGUUACUGGGCGUAAAGCGCGCGUAGGCGGGUUGGUAAGUCCGCUGUGAAAGCCCGGAGCUCAACUCCGGAGGGUCGGUGGAUACUGCCAGUCUUGAAGGUGCUAGGGGGAGAUGGAAUUACCGGUGUAGCGGUGAAAUGCGUAGAUAUCGGUAGGAACACCAGUGGCGAAGGCGGUCUCCUGGGGCAUUCUUGACGCUGAGGCGCGAAAGCUGGGGGAGCAAACAGG
rnacentral:rRNA from 1 species